rnacentral:rRNA from 1 species
GACGAACGCUGGCGGCGUGCUUAACACAUGCAAGUCGAACGGAAAGGCCCUGCUUUUGUGGGGUGCUCGAGUGGCGAACGGGUGAGUAACACGUGAGUAACCUGCCCUUGACUUUGGGAUAACUUCAGGAAACUGGGGCUAAUACCGGAUAGGAGCUCCUGCUGCAUGGUGGGGGUUGGAAAGUUUCGGCGGUUGGGGAUGGACUCGCGGCUUAUCAGCUUGUUGGUGGGGUAGUGGCUUACCAAGGCUUUGACGGGUAGCCGGCCUGAGAGGGUGACCGGCCCCAUUGGGACUGAGAUACGGCCCAGACUCCUACGGGAGGCAGCAGUGGGGAAUAUUGCACAAUGGGCGGAAGCCUGAUGCAGCAACGCCGCGUGCGAGAUGACGGCCUUCGGGUUGUAGACCGCUUUCGCCUGUGACGAAGCGUGAGUGACGGUAAUGGGUAAAGAAGCACCGGCUAACUACGUG